ensembl:lncRNA novel transcript
ACUCCGCCAUUUUCCUCCGGAAGUGCGGCACCCAGAGGCCGUCCUGUAGCCGGGCCGGCUUGGGGCUUGGUUCUAUGUCCCUGCGGGUCGGUGCAAGGGCGAAGAGGAACCCGUGGGCCUCAGGGGAUCCCGGGGGGCCGGACCAGUGUUCCCUAGUUGUGGGAGCAGACGCGUGGGCACAUUGCGGGCGGGCAGGGCCUGAAGUGCAGGUGCGGGCAGUGGACCCUGGCGGGGGCUGGGAGGACAGGCGUGGGGUCCCGGCAGUGAAACGGGUUCUAGAGGCGCAGGAGCAGGUAGGAGAGGCCGGUGGCCCUGGGCCCGGAGUCUGCAGGCCGCGCUCCUGUCCUGCCGCUGAGGGACCCGGUUACCAACCUGCAUGACGCUCAGUUUGCCCAUCUGUCCCAGUGGUAACACACAGUUCUCGGGAGACGUUCCCCAUUCCCAGAGGAGUAGUGUGAAACGCGUGCGCCUCUAGUCUUAAACUUGGCGUUUGUAUUAGUUGGGUUUCCUGGUGUCUCUUUAGCAAGUGAAGUUUCUGGUUCCCUCCUUCACUGUGUGACCUGCCUAGUCCUCCUGGGUCGCAUUUACAGAAGUUUAUACGAGACCUAGUUUCCAGGGAAGAACUCACUGAUUCCGCGAGGGAGAUGGCUUAAUGGAUGAUGGUCGUCAGCCUUAAGGAUACUUCAGUCUUAACUGUGUGUUACAAAGUUUGAAAGGGAGGGUUCCCUAUGAAUAAGAAGCACACUUGAAAGAACAGCCAUCUGGUCUAACCUCUCACUGGUGCUUCAGAGGAGGAAAAAAGGUCACAGCUAUGUUUCCAGUGUCCUCUGGGUGUUUCCAAGAGCAACAAGAAAUGAAUAAAUCUCUGUUGAAGAGAUACCAUUUGACAUUUUAGAGAUGGCUGCAUGCAAACUCUUGAAACAUUUGACCACCCUCCAGGGUGCCCCGACUCACUUUCCCUGCAGAUGGAGGCAAGGAGGCUCCACAGACAACCCCCCUGCCUGAGGUCACAUAGUGGCCAGCAGGCCAGAGCUGGCGCAGAGAAAAUACAAGCUGAGCUUAGAACAUCUUCUGCCAGAAAGUAAAAAAGUGCCGACAGAGUAAUGGAGACAAAUCAAAGAGACAUAAAGUCAGCUUGGAAUGUCUACUACUGGCCUAAUCUUGGGGAAUUGGAGCAUCAGAAUCAUGAGCUUUCCUUCUCCCUUAUUUAUUGGUUUUAUUUCUCCAUGUAGAACAAAGAAGAGAAUAAGAAAAUAAUCAUCUGGUAACCAUCAUAGUAAUAAUUGUUCAAACACAAGUCAUCCAUGAAAUGCUAAAUCUAGUGGGUUCUGAGGAGUAACCAGAUAUUUACAGAGCCUCAAAGUAUCUCCAUACAAAAUACGGUUGAACUACAAAAAGAAAAUUGUAACAUUAGCAUGGACAAACCUGGCAGGUACUCCUUAACUCUCCUAAGUAAUAAAAACUGUAAAAUGCAAAUAAGCCUUCGAUGACCUUUACUAACCUUUACUAAAGUAUCAGUGAUGACUUGGUUGUUUAAACAGCUGACAUUUGGGCAAUUUGAGUAUGUCAAACUCAAUAAUACUGGUUUUCAUUUGCAAGAUCCACUUAAAACUUAAGGAGGCCAAAAAACAUCAUUUAAAAUACCCUAUAAAUUAUAAUCAUACAUAUGAUACAAAAAUAUCCUACUUCAGUAAAUAUUGGAAUGUUAUAUAUUUUAUGAGAAACAAUUAAAAUGUGUAAAUAGCCCAGUAAUAAAGUUUUAUAAUCUU